GCAUUACAGGGACAGCUUAUUUGAGAAAAGGUUUGUUGGGAUUGAAGGGGACAUCAAGAGAGCAGAAUGGAAGCUGGCAGCAGCUGUGGAAACUGGGAGGGGAAUAAAUUGUCCAGAGUAGAAGCAAAUCCCCAUAACAAACCUCUCUUGCUCUGAACAGUUCCUGAGACAGAAAGAGGUGUCAGCAGAGAGCACUGUUUUUCAGACAGAAAUUAACAACUCAACUUCAGCAGCUGAUAAGUACUGGAUUACAACAGCCGACUGUUUGUCAGCAUCUUCACAGUUCACUGGAAGUUAAGCGUGGCGGCGCACUCAAAGACAAUAUAAAAUAAAGUGCGGCCUGUUGGUGUUCAAGAGGAAGGGAAGACACCUGGAUCUGACGGUAAUACAUAGCCGGGGGUCUUCUUUAUAACUGCAGAGAUACUGUUGAGUAGAGAUCACUUAGUUGGAAAAACCAAGUCAUUGAAAAUAAAAAUGGCAAAGCGGAGAGCCAUCUCCCUGCCCCUUCCCCACGCUCUUGAAUGCCACAGGCUAUUAUACUGUAGGUCUGUAGUAUAUGAGAGGUUGGCAGCUUAUGGAUGUUGUGGGCAGCCGGGGGCAGGUGGCCGAUGAUGUUGCUGCAUUGCACUGCCUACACAUGGCCGAGAACGGCAGAGAAAGAGGUAAAGUGUGGAUGAGGGCGUAAUUACCAUCUGAGGAUAUCAUAUAUAUUACCACCUGAUGUAUUAUGGUUGAGGAGUUUGUGUAUAUUGGUAGAAAGUGCAGAGGAAGAGCAAGGAGCAAAAAAUGUCCGUGCGGCAAAUUCUGCAGAAAUCGAGUCAGGACGACAUCAUGACGGUCUGGGCUGAAUGGACAAGAAAAUAUAAAGGGGAAAUAUUUCAGUAAGAGAAGGUGUCACUUAUGAGUCACUAAAUGUAACUGCACUGCGUUUACAAAUACACAUACCGAUAUAUAUGGUCCCUAUGAAAUAUACCGAUUUAUGGUCCCUAUGAAAUAUACCGAUAUAUGGUCCCUAAGAAAUAUAUAGUGUUGAGCGGCAUAGGCCAUAUUCGAAUUCGCGAAUAUAUGGACGAAUAUUCGUCAUAUUCGGGAAUAUUCGCAUAUUCGUAACAUUCUCGUUUUAUCUUCGCAUAUGCGAAUAUUCGCGUGUGCGAAAAUUAACAUAUGCGAAAAUUCGCAUAUACAAAAAUUUGCAUAUGUGAAAAUUCGCAUAUGCAAAAAUUCGCACACCGUCUCACACAGUAGUAUUAGAGCCUUCUUACACCACAUAAGCUGGAAGCAGAGAGGGAUGAUCACUGUUAUGUGUACUGUGAAAAAAAAAUAAAUAAAUAAAAAAAAUUAAUAUUCGUAAUUACGAAUAUAUAGCGCUAAAAUUCGAAUUGCGAAUAUUCGCGAGCAACACUAGAAAUAUACCGAUAUAUGGUCCCUAUGAAAUAUACCGAUAUAUGGUCCCUAUGAAAUAUACCGAUAUAUGGUCCCUAUGAAAUAUACCGAUAUAUGGUCCUCAUGAAAUAUACCGAUUUAUGGACCCUAUGAAAUAUACCGAUUUAUGGUCUCUAUGAAAUAUACCGAUUUAUGAUCCCUAUGAAAUAUACAGAUAUAUGGUCCCUAUGCAAUAUACCGAUUUAUGGUCCCUAUGAAAUAUACAGAUAUAUGGUCCCUAUGAAAUAUACCGAUUUAUGGUCCCUAUGAAAUAUACAGAUAUAUGGUCCCUAUGAAAUACACCGAUAUAUGGUCCCUAUGAAAUAUACCGAUAUAUGGUCCCUAUGAAAUAUACCGAUAUAUGGUCCUCAUGAAAUAUACCGAUUUAUGGACCCUAUGAAAUAUACUGAUUUAUGGUCU